rnacentral:hammerhead_ribozyme from 1 species
AUCCAGCUGACAAAUCCCAAAUAGGAUGAAAUGUGCAUCCUGGAU